GGGAGAGCAAUUCACUCCCGAGUAUGAGAAGCUCAAUCCUAUUGGUUAUGUACCCACUCUUGUGGAUGGGGAUGUUGUUAUUGCCGACUCUUUUGCUAUAUUAAUGUAUUUGGAGGAGAAGUACCCUCAGCAUCCUCUGUUGCCUCGUGAUCUUAGUAAAAGAGCUAUUAAUUACCAGGCUGCAAACAUCGUUUCUUCUAGCAUACAGCCUCUUCAAAAUCUA
rnacentral:misc_RNA from 1 species